GUAGGCAUGGAGGGGCUAUGUAGCAGAAAAGAUGUCAGUUCUCCGUUUUUUUCCCAAGGACUUUCACAGGGUAAAAGAUUUGUAGGUCCAAAUAGAAGCAGAGAGAAACAUGAUUAGUUUAGAGAAACUCAGUCAAAUCUUUUGUUUGCUGUUAUGGAAACCAAACAACUGCUGGAUUGAAUGAUACUAAUAUUAUAUUUUUAUUUUUCAACCGUUCUUAGAAACUGGUGGAGACACAGCCUAGGUUUACACAGUCUUAGAUUAAUUCCACAGCCUGAUUAAUCUGGAGGAAAAAGUGAACUAGAUCAGAGAAAGUCCUAACACUCUAAGAGGAAAUGCAUGGAAUCUAUACAAGCAAGCACAGAAAAAUAAGCUUUACAUCCAAAUAAACAAGGAAAAAUUUUGAAGGGUAAAACGACAAAUUCAAUCAACUGCACAGUGGCUUCAUGAAGGACAAGCAUGUGUCUUCCAAGGAGGUCUGGUCCUCUUCACCCUAGAUUCCAUGAAGAUCAAACUCCAAGCUGUGUUCAAAUGAGGGAUAGUUGGCAUCAGUGAACUUCCUCUUCAUCUCUUCUUGCAUCCCACUUCCAGUAGUUUGAGCUUGUCUAGGAUCUAAAUAGAUUUUUACCCUAAAUCACUAGGUAAAUGUGUUAUUCAUUGCUCUCCGGCUGUGUACACACACACACACACACACACACACACACACACGUCACAAUUUCUGAACAACAUGCACAAUGUAAUCAAAUGAUUCCUAUUCUGUCAAAUCAUUUAUUUGGAAACAUUACUUGAAAAUUAAUUGUAUGGGUUGUUUUUUUUUAAACUUUAUGACUGGCUUAAUGACUAAAAGAUGGAGGUAACAAGAUAGCAUUUUAACUUUCAAAAUUAAGCAAUAACAUUAGCUCUAUACAGUCAAACUAUUAGAGCAAAUGAGCAAACAAAUAUAUCUUCACAGGUGGCUUAUUUGUCUAUAAGCCUCUCACUUCCAUGUUUCAUUCAUACUACCUUUCAGGCCACAGUUUCAAGGGAGGUCAGUGUUCAUCUAAUCCGUUAUAUAAUACAAGCUGCCUCUGUUUGGGAGAAGGUUGGUUCACUGGUAAUUGUUAAGCCACUUUCUAAGAUCUGUGUGUGUUCAAAAAUGAGAAAGAAGUCACUGGACACUGGUGGGAACUCAAUCUUCUAUACCAAUCCUCCACUUAAAUAAUAUUCAUCUGCUUCUGGCCCUUCCUCGGUCAUGCCUUGGGUUUUUUCACCUCUGCAUAUUUGCUGACCCAAGUUCACCACUUAGGACCCUCCAUUCCUCUCCAUCUAUUCCUCUUGCUCCCACCUAGCCUUCCAGGCCCUGUGAAAACCCCACUGCCUUUGCAAAGUGCCCUGACCACACUAACCUGACUUGAUGGCUUCCUCUUUUGGGGUCUCUACUUUGGCCCUUUAUUGCUUAGAUUGUUUAUUGUUUUUUUAUGUCCGUCAGUCCAAUUUCCCUACUAGAUGUAGAUAGAUGAAUAUCAAAGAUGUUAAAGCAGGUGAUCAUCUACUCCAAAUUUCUCAGUCUUCAGACUCCUAAUCCAGUGCUCUUUUGACUGUGUCAUGCUAUACCUUAUUAAUUUUACUAUGCCCAUUAGCUUUUGAGAGCAAUGAUUUAUAAAAUUACUGAGUCAUUAUUUAUUUGUCAUUAAGCAAAUAUUCAUUGAGUGUCUAGUAGGUGCCAGGCUCCAUUCUAGGUACUGGAGAUACAGUAGUGACAUUGAUAGAGUGACCUUGUCCACUCUCUCAAAGGGCAUGCAUUUUGGUGGAAGACACAUAAAAUAAACAAAUUUAGACAGUAAUAAAUGCUAUAUGUACAACUGAAGAGGAUACCUAGGGUGGUAGGCUAGAGAGAGAUGGUGGUGAGAGGAGGAUGCUACUGUAGCUAAGGUGGUCAGCAGAGGCCCCGCCGAGGAGAUGGCAUUUGAGUUGGGAUCUGAGUGAUGAGUUGGGGGUGGUCUUGGGGGUGUCUGCGAGAAGAAUGUUUCAUGUGGAGUGAAGAGCAAGUGCCAAGGGCUUAUGUCAGAGUGAUCUUGGUGUGUUAGAAGAGAAAAAUAUGUGUGUGGCUGGAGGGAGGUCAGCAAGAGGAAGAAGAGCAGAAGCGGUGAGAGAUGUGGAGGUAGCUGGGCCCAGAACAUGCAUGACCUCUAUAUGCCAAGUUAAGAGUUUGCAGAUCCUUCUCGGAGGAAGUAGGGGGCCCAGGAAGGCUUGAUAUAGGGAAGGGACAUUAUAUGAGACACAUUUGAAGCUGAUGACCCUAGCUUUCAGGGGGAGGGUUUUUUUCCCCUUUUUUUCUUUAUCUUUCUUUUGCUUUUGCUUUUAUUUCUUUGGGGGGUAUACUAUACACAAAGCGCACACAUCUUAACUGUCCAGCUGCAUGAAUUUUUCCUAAUGUAUAUACCCAUGUAACUACACCCAUAGUAAGAUAGAGAACAAUCCCAGCGCACCCCAGAGGGCUCUGUCACGUCCUGCUCAGUCAUUGUCUCCACCACUAUUCAGAUGACUUCUAUCAGCACAGAUUAGUUUUGCCUAUUUUUGAAUAAAAUGUAAGUGAAAUCAUAUGGUAUGUACUUUUUUG